AUGAACAAAAAUUUGCACGCCGAAAUUUGGUGUGAAAUUCAGCCUGCUCGCCGGAAAGGGAAAUAAAAAUUGCUACCGCAUCUGUUUUCGGAGCCAAAAUCGAAGGGUUUGGAGUGUGAAUUUGGGAAUCAUUCCUUCUCGAAACUCGUAGAGGACCUCGAAAACUGUGAGUGUGUCAUUCGUGGUUGUGUACCUAAGAAAAUUUUGGUCUAUGAUGUUGCUUUUGGUGCUAACUCGAGCUAUGUUGGCGAAAUUCUGAGAAAUAGUAAACCUUCUGCCGCACCUGUUUUCGGAGCCGAAAUUGAAGGGUUUGGAGUGAGAUUUUCGAAUCAGUCUCUUCACAAAAGUCGUCGAGGACCGUGAUAAUUAUAUGUGUUGAGUAUAUUUAUGCUCUCAUUAAAGACUUGAGUAUGACUCCAAAGUAAGGUGUUUUUAUAGCACUUGCAUUGGACUUCAGGUUGGGUUGGACUGUUUGAUGAAGUGAAAGAACGUUAUCGUGGAAGUCAUAUUUGUUGUCGCUUAACAAUUUAUGAAGUGGAAUUUAUUAUGAAAUAAUUAUAGUAAUCUUUCUUAUUAUUUGAAAUGAUUGAUUUAUUAUUGUAUGUAGUAUGAUAGAUUGAAAUGUAAUAUUCAUAUUUGAUUGAUAA